GACGAACGCUGGCGGCGUGCCUAACACAUGCAAGUCGAACGGAAGUUAGAUGUUAGACGGUAGAGAUUAGAGAAAAGAAGAUAGAAGCUCUAAUAUCCAGCGUCUAAUGUCUAACUUUAGUGGCGGACGGGUGAGUAACGCGUGAGCAACCUGCCUUUCUGAGGGGAAUAACGUUUGGAAACGAACGCUAAUACCGCAUAACAUCUUUUUGUCGCAUGGCAGAAAGAUCAAAGGAAGCAAUUCCGCAGAAAGAUGGGCUCGCGUCCGAUUAGCCAGUUGGCGGGGUAACGGCCCACCAAAGCGACGAUCGGUAGCCGGACUGAGAGGUUGACCGGCCACAUUGGGACUGAGACACGGCCCAGACUCCUACGGGAGGCAGCAGUGGGGGAUAUUGCACAAUGGGGGAAACCCUGAUGCAGCAACGCCGCGUGAGGGAAGAAGGUUUUCGGAUUGUAAACCUCUGUCCUCGGUGAAGAUAAUGACGGUAGCCGAGGAGGAAGCUCCGGCUAACUACGUGCCAGCCGCCGCAGUAAUA
rnacentral:rRNA from 1 species